UACGUAGGGACCAAGCGUUGUUCGGAUUUACUGGGCGUAAAGGGCGCGUAGGCGGCAAUUCAAGUCAUCUGUGAAAUCUCCGGGCUUAACCGGGAGAGGCCAUUGGAAACUGACAGGCUGGAGGGCAGUAGAGGUAGGCGGAAUUCCGGGUGGAGUGGUGAAAUGCGUAGAUAUCGGGAGGAACACCAGUGGCGAAGGCGACUACCUGGCCUGUUCUUGACGCUGAGGCGCGAAAGCUAGGGGAGCAAACGGG
rnacentral:rRNA from 1 species